CUCUGUACCACAGAUGUUUCAUCUCUAACAGGUGGGAUGACUGAGGCCAAUGGAAGUGAAGGUACUUGCCCAAGGUCACACAGCUGGGUUGGAACCAUUGAAGGUUCUUGAGCAGGGGAGGAACCAAAUCAGAGCUGAAGGUUAGCUGAAGAUGACUUUAGGAGCUAUGUGAACACUUACUGCCUACAGAGCCUGUGUGAUAUUGUGAUUUAUAAUAAGAAAUAUAUAUACAGUCUUAUGGUUCCUGGCACAGAGCUCCUAAGAACCUUGGAAUUUCCUAAGUGAUGAGAGCCAUAAAGGUGUCUUUGUUGUGUCAACGAGGUGACUUUUGAACAACCAGUGGAGCCAACCAUGUGAUUAGAGAACUUUCAGUCUCAUCCUCAACCUUCUGGGAGAAGAGAGGAGCUGGAGCUCAAGCACCAAUGCCCAGUGAUUUAAUCAAUCACAACUAGGCAGGACUGAUCUCCUCCUCACCCUUUGGCCAAAGACAUCAAAAGAGGAGGCUCCAAGGUCUUUGCUGCUGCCUCAAAAUUGCAGGAUGUAAGUUCUUUCUGUCACCUGUCUUUAGCACUUAUUGCUACAGUUCUAGCCCCUUCUCUCUUGCUCUACUCUCCACCAAGAAGAAAAAAAGCUUCUCACAAGUGAUUUGAAAUGCCAGAACACACUCUCAAAGGGCAGAGGCCUGAGAGCCACUGAGCAGUUUAAGACCUCCAUGGGCACCGUCUUUAUAAGACACAUGAGGAAAUGUACCCAUGUCCCACAUUAAACAUAAUUAAUGUAGGGGCGCCUGGGUGGCUCAGUCAGUUGAGUGUCGACUUUGGCUCAGGUCAUGA